CCUACGGGUGGCAGCAGUGGGGAAUUUUGGACAAUGGGCGCAAGCCUGAUCCAGCUAUUCCGCGUGAGGGAAGACGGCCUUCGGGUUGUAAACCACUUUUGUAGAGAACGAAAAGUCUAUUGAUAAUACCGAUAGAUGAUGACGGUACUCUAAGAAUAAGCACCGGCUAACUACGUGCCAGCAGCCGCGGUAAUACGUAGGGUGCGAGCGUUAAUCGGAAUUACUGGGCGUAAAGGGUGUGCAGGCGGUUUUGCAAGAUGGAUGUGAAAGCCCCGGGCUUAACCUGGGAAAGCCAUACAUGACUGCAAGACUAGAGUGCGUCAGAGGGGGGUGGAAUUCCAAGUGUAGCAGUGAAAUGCGUAGAUAUUUGGAAGAACACCGAUGGCGAAGGCAGCCCCCUGGGACGCAACUGACGCUCAUACACGAAAGCGUGGGGAGCAAACAGGAUUAGAUACCCCGGUAGUC
rnacentral:rRNA from 1 species